GAUGAACGCUGGCGGCGUGCCUAAUACAUGCAAGUCGAGCGAACAGAUAAGGAGCUUGCUCCUUUGACGUUAGCGGCGGACGGGUGAGUAACACGUGGGUAACCUACCUAUAAGACUGGGAUAACUUCGGGAAACCGGAGCUAAUACCGGAUAACAUUUGGAACCGCAUGGUUCUAAAGUGAAAGAUGGUUUUGCUAUCACUUAUAGAUGGACCCGCGCCGUAUUAGCUAGUUGGUAAGGUAACGGCUUACCAAGGCGACGAUACGUAGCCGACCUGAGAGGGUGAUCGGCCACACUGGGACUGAGACACGGUCCAGACUCCUACGGGAGGCAGCAGUAGGGAAUCUUCCGCAAUGGGCGAAAGCCUGACGGAGCAACGCCGCGUGAGUGAUGAAGGGUUUCGGCUCGUAAAACUCUGUUAUUAGGGAAGAACAAAUGUGUAAGUAACUGUGCACGUCUUGACGGUACCUAAUCAGAAAGCCACGGCUAACUACGUG
rnacentral:rRNA from 1 species